rnacentral:rRNA from 1 species
UACGUAGGUGGCAAGCGUUGUCCGGAUUUACUGGGCGUAAAGGAUGCGUAGGUGGAUAUGCAAGUCAGAUGUGAAAUACCCGGGCUUAACUCGGGUGCUGCAUUUGAAACUAUAUAUCUAGAGUGCAGGAGAGGUAAGUGGAAUUCCUGGUGUAGCGGUGAAAUGCGUAGAGAUCAGGAAGAACAUCGGUGGCGAAGGCGCUUUGCUGGACCAUAACUGACACUCAGGGACGAAAGCUAGGGGAGCGAAUGGG